UCUUUUCCUUUUGUGCCCGCCGCCGCGGUAAUACGUAGGGGGCAAGCGUUAUCCGGAUUUACUGGGUGUAAAGGGAGCGUAGACGGUGUGGCAAGUCUGAUGUGAAAGGCAUGGGCUCAACCUGUGGACUGCAUUGGAAACUGUCAUACUUGAGUGCCGGAGGGGUAAGCGGAAUUCCUAGUGUAGCGGUGAAAUGCGUAGAUAUUAGGAGGAACACCAGUGGCGAAGGCGGCUUACUGGACGGUAACUGACGUUGAGGCUCGAAAGCGUGGGGAGCAAACAGG
rnacentral:rRNA from 1 species